UACGAAGGGUGCAAGCGUUACUCGGAAUCACUGGGCGUAAAGCGUGCGUAGGCGGUUCGUUAAGUCUGUUGUGAAAGCCCUGGGCUCAACCUGGGAACUGCAGUGGAUACUGGCGAGCUAGAGUACGGUAGAGGAAGGUGGAAUUCCCGGUGUAGCGGUGAAAUGCGUAGAGAUCGGGAGGAACACCAGUGGCGAAGGCGGCCUUCUGGACCAGUACUGACGCUUAGGCACGAAAGCGUGGGGAGCAAACAGG
rnacentral:rRNA from 1 species